rnacentral:rRNA from 1 species
GCGGCGGACGGGUGAGUAACGCGUGGGUAACCUACCCCAAAGUCCGGGAUAACAACGGGAAACCGCUGCUAAUACCGGAUGCCUUUACCUUGGGGCAUCUUGAGGUAAAGAAAGGCAACGCUUUGGGAUGGGCCCGCGUCCCAUUAGCUAGUUGGUGAGGUAACGGCUCACCAAGGCGACGAUGGGUAGCCGGCCUGAGAGGGUGGACGGCCACACUGGGACUGAGACACGGCCCAGACUCCUACGGGAGGCAGCAGUAGGGAAUAUUGCGCAAUGGACGGAAGUCUGACGCAGCGACGCCGCGUGAGCGAUGAAGGUCUUCGGAUCGUAAAGCUCUGUCCUUGGGGAAGAAGGCGAAAGCUUGACGGUACCCAAGAAGAAAGCCCCGGCUAACUACGUGCCAGCAGCCGCGGUAAUACGUAGGGGGCGAGCGUUGUCCGGAAUUACUGGGCGUAAAGGGUGCGUAGGCGGCCCUUUAAGUCGGAUGUGAAAGCCCGCG